rnacentral:rRNA from 1 species
UACGUAGGGGGCAAAUGUUGUUCGGAAUCACUGGGCGUAAAGGGAGCGUAGGCGGGUUUCUAAGUCAGGCGUUUAAUCCCGGGGCCCAACCCCGGACAGGCACUUGAAACUGGGAAUCUUGAAUAGUGGAGAGGUCAGUGGAAUUGGGGGUGUAGCGGUGGAAUGCGUAGAGAUCCCCAAGAACACCAGUUGCGAAGGCGGCUGACUGGACACAUAUUGACGCUGAGGCUCGAAAGCAUAGGGAGCAAACAGG